rnacentral:rRNA from 1 species
AUGGACAUGGGCCUUGAGGUCUCGAGCUCCUCCCCGUCCUCCUCGUCGGCGUCGUCCUCGCCCGAGCACGCGGCGGGGCGGGCGUCGCUGGCCAAGCGCCCCGCGGGGCGCACCAAGUUCCGGGAGACGCGGCACCCGGUGUACCGCGGCGUGCGGCGCCGGGGCAACGCCGAGCGGUGGGUCUGCGAGGUGCGCGUCCCCGGCAAGCGCGGCGCGAGGCUCUGGCUCGGGACGUACGCCACGGCUGAGAUCGCAGCGCGCGGGAACGACGCCGCCAUGCUCGCCCUGGGCGGCCGCUCCGCCGCGUGCCUCAACUUCGCGGACUCCGCGUGGCUGCUCGCCGUGCCGCCCGCACUCGCCGACCUCGGCGACGUCCGGCGCGCGGCGGUCGAGGCCGUCGCUGAUUUCCAGAGACGAGAGGCUGCCAACGGCUCCCUCACAGUCACCGCCACCGUCACCGAAGAGGCCUCCUGUGGCGCUCCUGAAGAAUCGUCGUCUGAGUCUGACAGUGUCGGUUCGUCGGAGACGUCGGAACCUUCUGCCGAUGGAGAGUUCGAGGUGCCGGUCGCGGUGGACACCGAUAUGUUCAGGCUUGACUUGUUCCCGGAACUGGACCUGUGCUCGUACUACGCGAGCCUCGCGGAGGCGCUGCUCCUGGACCCGCCGGCACCGGUGACCACCACCUACGCGUACUGGGACAACGGCGACGGCGGAGCUGAUGUCGCGCUCUGGAGCUACUAG